GAGUUUGAUCCUGGCUCAGGAUGAACGCUGGCGGCGUGCCUAAGGCAUGCAAGUCGAACGGUCCCGACAUUAGUCGGGGUAGUGGCGAACGGGUGAGUAACACGUACGAACUUACCCCCCAGUCAAAGACAGCCCACCGAAAGGCGGAGUAAUCUUGGAUAGUCCCCCAACAUUAUGUCGGGGGUAAAGGGCAUAACUGCCCGCUUGGGGAGAGGCGUGCGGCCCAUCAGCUUGUUGGUAGGGUAAUGGCCUACCAAGGCAGCGACGGGUAGCCGGACUGAGAGGUUGAUCGGCCACAAGGGCACUGAGACACGGGCCCUACUCCUACGGGAGGCAGCAGCUAGGAAUAUUGCGCAAUGGGCGCAAGCCUGACGCAGCGACGCCGCGUGCGGGAUGAAGACCCUCGGGUUGUAAACCGUAUGCCUCGUGCUUUGCACGGGGAAAGCGCCUACUAACUACGUGCCAGCAGUCGCGGUAAUACGUAGGGCGCGAGCGUUAUCCGGAAUUAUUGGGCGUAAAGGGUCCGUAGGCGGUUUUUUAAGUCCUGUCUUAAAACCUCCGACCUAAUCGGAGAACAGGGCGGGAUACUAAAAAACUAGAACUAAAUUAGGGCCGCUGGAACUUAUUGUGUAGGGGUUAAAUCCGUGGAUACAAUAAGGAACACCAAGAGCGAAGGCAGGUGGCUAGAUUUACGUUGACGCUCAAGGACGAAAGCUAGGGUAGCAAACCGGAUUAGAGACCCGGGUAGUCCUAGCCCUAAACGAUCCCCGCUAGCUGCUCCGGCUUUACGCUGGAGUGGCGUAAGCUAACGCGUUAAGCGGGGCGCCUGGGGAGUACAACCGCAAGGUCGAAACUCAAACAAAUUGACGGGGAGGCGCACAACCAGUGGAGCAUGUGGUUUAAUUCGAAAAAAAGCGCUGAACCUUACCUGGGCUUGACAUUCUAGGCACUUAGCGCUCCGAAAGGAGAAAGCGAUUCCGACUAUGUUGGAAACCUAGAACAGCUGGUGCAUGGCUGUCGUCAGCUCGUGGCGUGAGCCGUUCGCUUAAGUGCGGUAACGAGCGCAACCCCCGCCCCGUGUUACCCGUGUCACGGGGGACAGGUCCGACGUUACGUCGGACAGGAAGGAGGGGAUGACGUCAAGUCAGCAUGUCGCUUAUGCCCAGGGCUACACACAUCCUACAAUGGCCGUGACAAUGAGCCGCCAAACCGCAAGGUGGAGCUAAUCUCAUCAAAAACGGUCUCAGUUGGGAUUGCAGGCUGCAACUCGCCUGCAUGAACUUGGAAUUGGUAGUAAUCGGGGGUCAGCAGACCCCGGUGAAUACGUUCUCGCCUCUAACGGACAC
rnacentral:rRNA from 1 species